AUUGAACGCUGGCGGCAGGCCUAACACAUGCCAGUCGAGCGAGCGGCGGACGGGUGAGUAAUGUAUGGGGACUGCCCGAUAGAGGGGGAUAACUACUGGAAACGGUGGCUAAUACCGCAUACUAUCGGAUAACCCAUAUGGGAUUGGCUAGUAGGUGGGGUAAAGGCUCACCUAGGCGACGAUCUCUAGCUGGUCUGAGAGGAUGAUCAGUCACACUGGGACUGAGACACGGCCCAGACUCCGACGGCGGCAGCAGUGGGGAAUAUUGCACAAUGGGCGCAAGCCUGAGGCAGCCAUGCCGCGUGUAUGAAGAAGGCCUUAGGGUUGUAAAAUACUUUCAGCGGGGAGGCGGUACCCGCAGAGGAAGCACCGGCUAACUCCGUGCCAGCAGCCGCGGUAAUUC
rnacentral:rRNA from 1 species